rnacentral:rRNA from 1 species
CCUGGCUCACGAUGAACGCUAGCUACAGGCUUAACACAUGCAAGUCGAGGGGCAGCAUGGUCUUAGCUUGCUAAGACUGAUGGCGACCGGCGCACGGGUGAGUAACACGUAUCCAACCUGCCGUCUACUCUUGGACAGCCUUCUGAAAGGAAGAUUAAUACAAGAUGGCAUCAUGAGUCCGCAUGUUCACAUGAUUAAAGGUAUUCCGGUAGACGAUGGGGAUGCGUUCCAUUAGAUAGUAGGCGGGGUAACGGCCCACCUAGUCUUCGAUGGAUAGGGGUUCUGAGAGGAAGGUCCCCCACAUUGGAACUGAGACACGGUCCAAACUCCUACGGGAGGCAGCAGUGAGGAAUAUUGGUCAAUGGGCGAGAGCCUGAACCAGCCAAGUAGCGUGAAGGAUGACUGCCCUAUGGGUUGUAAACUUCUUUUAUAAAGGAAUAAAGUCGGGUAUGGAUACCCGUUUGCAUGUACUUUAUGAAUAAGGAUCGGCUAACUCCGUGCCAGCAGCCGCGGUAAUACGGAGGAUCCGAGCGUUAUCCGGAUUUAUUGGGUUUAAAGGGAGCGUAGAUGGAUGUUUAAGUCAGUUGUGAAAGUUUGCGGCUCAACCGUAAAAUUGCAGUUGAUACUGGAUAUCUUGAGUGCAGUUGAGGCAGGCGGAAUUCGUGGUGUAGCGGUGAAAUGCUUAGAUAUCACGAAGAACUCCGAUUGCGAAGGGCAGCCUGCUAAGCUGCAACUGACAUUGAGGCUCGAAAGUGUGGGUAUCAAACAGGAUUAGAUACCCUGGUAGUCCACACGGUAAAACGAUGAAUACUCGCUGUUUGCGAUAUACUGCAAGCGGCCAAGCGAAAGCGUUAAGUAUUCCACCUGGGAGUACGCCGGCAACGGUGAAACUCAAAGGGAAUUGACGGGGGCCCGCACAAGCGGAGGAACAUGUGGUUUAAUUCGAUGAUACGCGAGGAACCUUACCCCGGGCUUAAAUUGCAGAUGAAUUACGGUGAAAGCCGUAAGCCGCAAGGCAUCUGUGAAGGUGCUGCAUGGUUGUCGUCAGCUCGUGCCGUGAGGUGUCGGCUUAAGUGCCAUAACGAGCGCAACCCUUGUUGUCAGUUACUAACAGGUUCCGCUGAGGACUCUGACAAGACUGCCAUCGUAAGAUGUGAGGAAGGUGGGGAUGACGUCAAAUCAGCACGGCCCUUACGUCCGGGGCUACACACGUGUUACAAUGGGGGGUACAGAGGGCCGCUACCACGCGAGUGGAUGCCAAUCCCCAAAACCUCUCUCAGUUCGGACUGGAGUCUGCAACCCGACUCCACGAAGCUGGAUUCGCUAGUAAUCGCGCAUCAGCCACGGCGCGGUGAAUACGUUCCCGGGCCUUGUACACACCGCC